CUACGGGGGGCUGCAGUGGGGAAUAUUGCGCAAUGGGCGAAAGCCUGACGCAGCAACGCCGCGUGAGUGAAGAAGGCUUUCGGGUUGUAAAGCUCUGUCAGGGGGAACGAAAUGGCAUUUCAGUAAAUGGUUAUGCCUUGACGGUACCCCCAAAGGAAGCACCGGCUAACUCCGUGCCAGCAGCCGCGGUAAUACGGGGGGUGCAAGCGUUGUUCGGAAUCACUGGGCGUAAAGCGCGUGUAGGCGGAUUGGUAAGUCAGAUGUGAAAUCCUGGGGCUUAACCCCAGAACUGCAUUUGAAACUGCCAGUCUUGAAUGCGGUAGAGGGAAGGGGAAUUCCCGGUGUAGAGGUGAAAUUCGUAGAUAUCGGGAGGAAUACCAGUGGCGAAGGCGCCUUCCUGGACCGACAUUGACGCUGAGACGCGAAAGCGUGGGGAGCAAACAGGAUUAGAUACCCCUGUAGUC
rnacentral:rRNA from 1 species